UACGUAGGGGGCGAGCGUUGUCCGGAUUUAUUGGGCGUAAAGCGCUCGCAGGUGGUCCGUCGCGUCGUGCGUGAAAGACCCCGGCUCAACUGGGGAGGGUCGUGCGAUACGGGCGGACUGGAGGCCAGUAGGGGGAUGCGGAAUUCCGGGUGUAGUGGUGGAAUGCGUAGAGAUCCGGAGGAACACCAGCGGCGAAGGCGGCAUCCUGGACUGGUCCUGACACUCAGGAGCGAAAGCGUGGGGAGCGAGUCCGG
rnacentral:rRNA from 1 species